rnacentral:rRNA from 1 species
CACUUAACAGCUAGCCCACAUAUAAUUCCAACACACCCAUAUUUAUAACCCUUAAAACCCUUAACCAUCUAAUUAAACCAUUUUUCCACUCGAGUAUAGGCGAUAGAAAAAGAUCUUUUGGCGCAAUAGAGAAAGUACCGCAAGGGAAUGCUGAAAGAGAAAUGAAAUAACUCAGUUUAAGUAAAGAAAAGCAGAGCUAUAUCCUCGUACCUUUUGCAUCAUGUUCUAGCUAGAGACCCUCAAGCGAAAAGCAUUUUAGUUUGACAACCCGAAACUGAGUGAGCUACCCCAGGACAGCCUAGAAUACAGGGCCAACCCGUCUCUGUGGCAAAAGAGUGGGAAGAUCCUUGGGUAGAGGUGACAAACCUACCGAACUUAGUUAUAGCUGGUUACCUAGGAAUUGAAUAGAAGUUCAGCCUAUUGAAUUCUCCCCUCUAAUAUAGGUCUACACCUAAGGUUUAUGAUUAAGAGAAGUCAAAAGAGUUAGUCAAAGGGGGUACAGCCCCUAUGAAAUAAGACACAACUUUAUUUAGGAGGAUAAGGAUCAAAGUCUACCCAAGG